GGCUCAGCCUCCCAGAGUGCUAUGAUUACAGGUGUGAGCCACUGUGCCUGGCCAUAUAUUUAUUUAUUAUUAUUUUUUGAGACAGAGUCUCCCUCUAUUGCCUAGGACGGAGUGCAGUGGCAUAGUCUCGGCUCACUGCAACCUCUGCCUCCUGGAUUCAAGCGAUUCUCCUGCCUCAGCCUCUCAAGUAGCUGGGACAACAGGCUCAUGCCACCAUGCCCGGCUAAUUUUUUUAUAUUUUCAGUAGAAACAGCGUUUCACCAUAUUGGCCCGGCUGGUCUUGAACUCCUGACCUCAUGAUCUGCCCACCUCGGCCUCCCAAAGUGCUGGGAUUACAGGCAUGAGCUGCUGCACCCGGCCUGUAUUUUAUUUUAAAACAGAGAUGGGGUCUUGCUAUGUUGCCCAGGCUGGUCUUAAAUUCUUGGCCUGAAGUGAUCCUCCCUACUAGGCCUCCCAAAGUGUUGGGUUUGAGAUAUCUUCUACCUUUUAAAAUAGCUGUGUAAAAGGAGGUAAGAAAUGAUAGUGCACACUGGUGUUAAGAACCUUGUCACACAUCUUGUACUGUCCUCAGUAUAGCAUUCUCUACAUUCCAGAGACCCAAAGAAAUAUGCAACAUAAAUGAGUACAAAACCUACCAUAAGCAC
rnacentral:lncRNA from 1 species